rnacentral:rRNA from 1 species
UUGUAGAAGAUGCUUUGGGUGUGGCUCCGGUCUAAGUUCCUUGGAACAGGACGUCAUAGAGGGUGAGAAUCCCGUACGUGACUGGGUGCCUUCGCUCGUGUAAAGCUCUUUCGAC